rnacentral:rRNA from 1 species
GACGAACGCUGGCGGCGUGCCUAAUACAUGCAAGUUGAGCGCUGAAGGUUGGUACUUGUACCAACUGGAUGAGCAGCGCACGGGUGAGUAACGCGUGGGGAAUCUGCCUUUGAGCGGGGGACAACAUUUGGAAACGAAUGCUAAUACCGCAUAAAAACUUUAAACACAAGUUUUAAGUUUGAAAGAUGCAAUUGCAUCACUCAAAGAUGAUCCCGCGUUGUAUUAGCUAGUUGGUGAGGUAAAGGCUCACCAAGGCGAUGAUACAUAGCCGACCUGAGAGGGUGAUCGGCCACAUUGGGACUGAGACACGGCCCAAACUCCUACGGGAGGCAGCAGUAGGGAAUCUUCGGCAAUGGACGAAAGUCUGACCGAGCAACGCCGCGUGAGUGAAGAAGGUCUUCGGAUCGUAAAACUCUGUUGGUAGAGAAGAACGUUGGUGAGAGUGGAAAGCUCAUCAAGUGACGGUAACUACCCAGAAAGGGACGGCUAACUACGUG